UGUAAUUGCCAUCUGAUUGAGCAA
rnacentral:siRNA from 1 species